rnacentral:rRNA from 1 species
AGGACGAACGCUUGCGACGUGCCUAAGAAAUGCAAGUCGAACGGACAGUAGCAAUACUGUUAGUGGCGAACGGUCGCGUAACACGUGGGCAACCUGCCCUGAAGCGGGGGACAACAACUCGAAAGAGUUGCUAAUACCGCAUGUGAAUCGCUGUGGCAUCACAGAGGAUUCAAAGCCGCAAGGCACUUCAGGAUGGGCCCGCGGCCUAUCAGCUAGUUGGUGAGGUAACGGCCCACCAAGGCUUCGACGGGUAGCUGGUCUGAGAGGACGAUCAGCCGGAUUGGGGACUGAGAUACGGCCCAGACUCCUACGGGGGGGCAGCAAUUAGGAAUCUUGCACAAUGGGCGAAAGCCUGAUGCAGCGACGUCGCGUGAAGGAUGAAAUCUUUCGGGAUGUAAACUUCUUUUUUUCAGUCCAUGAAACAAAUGACAGUAGCUGAAGAAUAAGCCCGGCUAACUACGCGCCAGCAGCCGCGGUAA